UGAGCAGAAGCUAAUUAAGCACCUAACUGUUAAUUAGGCCUAUGUCAUCCUUUUGACCUGUUCAG
rnacentral:tRNA from 1 species